UAAAGCUAAUUCGUCCACCCAUAGAAAUCACCAAAUGCAGACAGGGGGUGGUGAAAAGCCUAAGUCACCUUCGCAAGAAGAUCUAGCGAUUAUGGCUAUUGCUCCACAUGAUUUUAUUGUGGAAUUCAGUAACUAUGACAGUGAUGCUAACAAAACAGCUGUUAGCACAAUUGAUUUUUAUUUAUUAUUGUAAAAUACUGCUUAAAUUAAUAUAAAAAUAAUAAUUUAACAAUAUAAUGAACAUUUUUAGGUUCAAUUACAACCCCUAGAAGUUAAAGAAGUAAUAGCUGGAUCUAGUAGUGUUUUUACUUCUUCAAACAUGUCCCUUGAAUACAAUGAUGUGGUAGAAGUGAUAAUGGACCAAGAUGCCCCAAAUGAAAAUGUGACGACUGCCGUUACUACUGACGAAAAAACAACAUUCAUAAUAAAAAGGGCCCUCAAAAUAUGUAAGCAAGAUUACCUUAAGUUUAUAUUAAUCUUAUUAUUUACUAAGAACAAAUUAGGAAUAAAGGAUAAAUAUUUGAUUUUUCAGAAAAGUAGCAACACGAGAAAAAAUAUUAGAGAGCAACACUCAAUUUAAAAAAAAAACAACUGGAAAUGCUAGCAGAAGAACAUGAAUACAA